rnacentral:rRNA from 1 species
ACUACGCCUACAUGAAGCUGGAGUUGCUAGUAAUCGCGAAUCAGCAUGUCGCGGUGAAUACGUUCCCGGGCCUUGUACACACCGCCCGUCACACCAUGAGAGUUGGCAAUACCCAACGUACGUGAUCUAACCCGCAAGGGAGGAAGCGUCCUAAGGUAGGGUCAGCGAUUGGGGUGAAGUCGUAACAAGGUAGC